UUGGUCGUAGCUCAGUGGCCAGAGCGCCCGAUUGUGGCUCGGGAUACGCGGGUUCGAUUCCCGUCGAUCAAC
rnacentral:tRNA from 1 species